AUUGAACGCUGGCGGCAGGCCUACCACCAGCAAGUCGAACGAGCGGCGGACGGGUGAGAACUGCCUGGGAAACUGCCUCAUGGAGGGGGAUAACUACUGGAAACGGUAGCUAAUAUUGCAUGCCAUCGGGUGUGCCCAGAUGGGAUUAGCUAGUAGGUGGGGUAAAGGCUCACCUAGGCCACGAUCCCUAGCUGGUCUGAGAGGAUGACCGGCCACCCUGGAACGGAGCCACAGUCCGGACUCCUGCGGGAGGCAGCAGGGGGGAAUAUGGGACAAUGGGCGCAAGCCUGAUGCAGCCAUGCCGCGUGGAUGAAGAGUGCCGUCGUGUUGUAAAGUACUUUCAGCGGGGAGGCGUUACCCGCAGAAGAAGCACCUGCUAACUCCGUGCCAGCAGCCGCGGUAAUUC
rnacentral:rRNA from 1 species